GUCAUAGUGAAGAGCAUUGUGUUAUAGAAAAUCAUCUUCCUACAUAAUUGCAAUGAGGCUGGAGUGAUAUACUUUGUAAAAAUCGUCAACGAUCAGUUUGUGAAAUGAUGAAGAUCUACUUAUGAAUCAACACUUUUCAUGGACAUGUGUUUGGAUUAGAAUUCAUUAUUCUAGAGCUAGCUCAUAAGUUCUUUUUUAUGAAAGACAUUCCAUAGACUUUUAGGUAUGUGGUCAACUAUUCCACUUUUGAGGAAAUGUUAGUGUUGCAUAUGGAAUUUAUCAGUUUACUUCCUACAGAGUUCCUAAUACAAUAAUUGUGGAGGACUUUUACUUAAUGUACAAUGAGUUUACUACAUCAUUAUGGUACAGAAUUUUCAAAAGAUACAUUUUACUCAAAAUGCCUUUGACUGCCUAGGUAAAGAGAGUAAUUGAACAGGAAUGAAAUAUUUUAUCCUGUGUCUAGCUAGUGCUGGAACUCUUCUCUUCACUCUACCUUUUGUUGUAUGAGUGUGUUUCGGUGUCUUUUACUUAUGUGUCUCUAGAGCAUCUUUACAUCAAUGUGUGUGAACAGGUUUUAUGUGAGGUUUGUGUUUAAAGAGCUAUAUAGAAUCAGAAACCAUCCUACUGAGUGCUAAUUACUGAAAAGGAUUGUAAGAAAUAAUACAGUAGUUAUGGUUUUAAGCCACUAAGAUUUUGGGUAGAAUGUUCAGUACUGGGGAGAAUACUUUUACUUUCAAGCAUCUAUCAGUUUUUAGAAAUGAUAAUGUUGAAGCUGGCUGAUUCUCUGAAGGUGGAGAUUUGCUACAACUGACAACCCUGUAGAUCCCUUUGGAUGUAAAUUUUAUUCAGAUGAUUUUAAUUCUGAAACAUGGAUUAUGCUAAAGAUUAGAUAUGAGGUAUCUCCCAAAAGUUUAUGUGUGUGACAAUGAAAGAAGGUUUAGAGUUGACAAGAUGGGAUAUGAGAGCCUUCACCCAAUCAGUGCAUUAAUCCCCUGAUAGGGACUAAAUAAAUGGUAAGUGUAGGCAUGUAGGGUGUGGCUGAAAGAGGUGAGUCACUGAGAGUGUGCCUUUGAGGUGGGUAUUUUGUUGUGGUGGGAGGAUUAUGUUUUUUUUUCUCUGUCUCUGCUUCCUGAUGGGCAUGUCCUGAGCCACUUUCCUCCUCUACACCUUUCUCCUCUGAUGGUCUAUUUCACUUCAUGCCCAGAGCAAUGGGAGCUAGCCAUCUAUGGACUGAGACCUUUGAAUGCAUGAGCCCCAGAUGAACUUUUUCUCCUCUUAAAUUGUUUUUUGUCAGGUAUUUUGAUCACAGCAGAAAAAAGCUGACUAAAACAGAUUAGUAGUCCUUUAUUUGCCUACAUGGAAAUCAUCAGUAGUGCACACUUGCUGGGGAUGAGCUGAAUGAUUCAAGGACAGAAGAAAUGUUGAGGCACAGUCCAGCUGUUUUAAAGCAAUUGUUCAGUGUAAAGGUUUGAUGAAAUAUUGUGUAAUAAAAUUUUGGAUGAAAUGCUUUGGAGAAAUUAAAAAUGUUGUAAAUGGAAUUUUUAAAAUGAGGAACCAGCUUUAAGGACUGUGGUUCAUGUUUGCUGUCUAUGCAUCCCUUCUUCCUCAAAAAAAUAUUUCAAUAUUGUUGAAAGUCGCACUUUCCUUCUUGAAGCUCAUGUGACUUGGGAUGUGUGAGUGAGUAUGGAUUAAUCCAAGUCAACAAUCAUACUAGUGGUUGGUUUAGGAAUAGCAUGAAUUGUUAGUUCUGCUAAGAAAUUGCUUCUUCCUCUUCUCAGAGGAAUCAGGGAGUGAAUCUCCCUCUCCUAAUGAACAUGAAGAAUCCUGUUCACAACUGACAGUCAUACUGUAACCACAAGGGGAAGUAGUCUUCAAAUGAUAGAAACACCAUGGAUGGCAGAGUCGAGCCAUGGGAAGGACCUGAUUAUUUAAGUUCUUUGUGGGUCACUGAAUGGACUAUUUUCACAGCAUAGCCUACUAUGAGGUUUUAUUGUGAAGGCUAAUAAAUUUCUAAUUAUUUGUCAGAUUGAAUCCUGAUGGAUUUAAGAAAAUAUAUUACUUUUAGUGACUAGAUUUUAUUGAGCUAUAGUUUACAUAAGUAAAAGGCACACACUUUCCGAGUAUAGUUCCAUGAUUUUGUCAGGUGUGUGCAAACCUGUAACCACCAUGAUUAUCUACAAUAAAGAUUUCUAGCACUGCCCAAUGUUCCCUGUCCUAACAGUAUGAAUGCAAUGUUCUUAUUCCUGCUUUUCAAAUUCCAUAUAAAGCAGAUAACAAAGUUUGUUUUUUCUUUUUACUUUCCUUAUCUCAAUAUGUUUGUAG
rnacentral:lncRNA from 1 species